GGCGGUAUAGCCAAGUGGUAAGGCAGAGGAUUGCAAAUCCUUUAUUCCCUCAGUUCGAAUCUGAGUUCCGCCU
rnacentral:tRNA from 1 species